rnacentral:rRNA from 1 species
UACGUAGGGGGGCAAGCGUUGUCCGGAUUUAUUGGGCGUAAAGAGCGUGUAGGCGCCAGACAGGUCCGUUGUGAAAACUCGAGGCUCAACCUCGAGAUGUCGAUGGAAACCGUCUGGCUAGAGUCCGGAAGAGGAGUGUGGAAUUCCUGGUGUAGCGGUGAAAUGCGCAGAUAUCAGGAAGAACACCCGUGGCGAAGGCGGCUCUCUGGGACGGUACUGACGCUGAGACGCGAAAGCGUGGGGAGCGAACAGG